ACGAAAAGAGGAAUUAGAAUUCAGGAAAUGUUACCCAAGUGCUUCUCUCUAAAUGCAUGAGGCAUGAAGUCAGGCUGGAGGGUCCGUGGUGAAUGGUAAAUAUUGAAGGUGCCAACACCAUGCUGGAGGUCACAACACCCCAGGUCUGAGUAGUCCCCCAGUGUGAUGGGUUGAAUUGUGCCCCUCCUGAGAUUCAGAUGGUUCCGUCCUAAUCCCCAGAACCACGGAAUGUGACUCUGCUUGGAGAUAGGGUUUUUUACAGUGGCAUUCAAGUUAAAGUGUGGCCAUUAGGGCGGGUUCUGAUCCAACAUAGCUGGUGAUCUUAUUAAAAGGGGACAUUUACAUGCAGACAUGCAGACAGAGAAGCUGAUGUGAGAAAAUAUAGGGAGAACGCAGACGUCUGCAAGUCAAAAGGAGAGGGUGGAACAGAUUCUCCCUCCCAGCCCUCAGAAGGUGACACUCGUGCUGACUGACAUCUUGCUCACAGACUUCCAGCCUCGAAACUGAGACAACAAAUCUGUGUUAUGUAAACCACUCUGUGUGGUGCCUUGUUGUCGAAGGCCUAGCAGACAAAUACACCGAGCUUCCGGAAAAGCCAGAAAAGGAACAAGAUGGCCGCCAUCUCUUCUGCAGUUGUCCCUACUGGGAACCUCCAGGUGCCCCUCUGGUGAAAGAUUCGGACAUUAAAAUACGCCAUGAUGACGCUGGGUUGUGUAAAGCGAAUGCCAAGGAAGGGCUUCUAAUCGGACUCAGGGAGUCAGCAAGCCCUUCCGAGAAGUGUCUUCUAAGCAGACGAGUUAGCCAGACAGUGGCAAGGCGAGGAGGACCGCGUGAGCAAGGGUGCCAGGCCAAGAAGAAAAAUACCUCUUUUGUGAAAAGAUCCAUUUUUAGCUUUCCUGUUAGAAAACGCGAGCCAAAAAUUCACACGGGAAAUGGGAUCUGAAACGCCACCUUUCAUUCUGAAAUUCAGGAGAUGUUUGUUAGACGUGGUGCACGUGAGUGCACGAAGAACAGAAGACAACAUUCGUUUUGCACUCCAUUGUGAAUCCAUUGUUGGCAUUACCCUUGGAGAGAAUGUCAAGGAAUGGGGUCCAGGAAGCUUAUCUGAACUGGAAGAAUGAAGCCAGACACAGGCAUGCAGAGCUGAGAGGGGCAGAGACACAGGGCCCUGAGGACAUCUGGCACAGAAAUUGACACUGCGUGUUGACUCGGUCAACACAGUGAACACAAUAGCAGCUACUGAAUAAUGGACAGAUGCCUACGUAGAUGUGUGGACAGAUGGAAUAACGAUGGAUGGUCAGCGAGACUGAGGAGGAGGUAUGCACCUGCACUAUAAUUGGGACCAGAUGAAGAAUAUAGACCUGUACGUAGUGUAUUUCCUCUUCUGUUGUUUCUGUUCUGCACUAUUUGAAACAGCACCACACCCUCCUGCUUGCUUUGUAAAGCCAUGUCAAAUGCCAUGUUGCCUGUUGCCGGGAGUCUCUCUGAUUUUCCCCUGGCUGCCAUUGUUCAAAGGAAAGGGAACGUCUCAUCUGUGUGUGUUUCUAACAGCUUUUUAGGACUCAUCAUUGGCCAAGCUCACUCUGCAUAACUUUAAUUGACAUUAUAUUUAGAUUUACCGCUGUGGCUGACUUUUUUUUUUUUUUUUUACACUUUUAAUUGGAUUAUCUUCCAAAGGGAAAAUAUUAGAGCUUGAGUGGAAUUAUAUUAAGUGAAAAAAAUCUGCCUCGGAAGAUUUCAAGGAUUGAUGAUGCUUAGCAUCGUCACAGGGAUCUAGAGAAGGGAACUCACCUACC